AAGGCCUUUUGGUUGUAAAGCACUUUAAGCAGUGAAGAAGACUCUAUGGUUAAUACCCAUAGACGAUGACAUUAGCUGCAGAAUAAGCACCGGCUAACUCUGUGCCAGCAGCCGCGGUAAUACAGAGGGUGCAAGCGUUAAUCGGAAUUACUGGGCGUAAAGCGAGCGUAGGUGGCUUAAUAAGUCAGAUGUGAAAUCCCCGGGCUUAACCUGGGAACUGCAUCUGAUACUGUUAGGCUAGAGUAGGUGAGAGGGAGGUAGAAUUUCAGGUGUAGCGGUGAAAUGCGUAGAGAUCUGAAGGAAUACCGAUGGCGAAGGCAGCCUCCUGGCAUCAUACUGACACUGAGGUUCGAAAGCGUGGGUAGCAAACAGGAUUAGAUAC
rnacentral:rRNA from 1 species